UACAGAGACUGCAAGCGUUAUUCGGAUUCACUGGGCGUAAAGGGUGCGCAGGCGGUUGGGUGUGUCAGAUGUGAAAUCCCGAGGCUUAACCUCGGAACUGCGUCUGAAACUACUCGACUAGAGUACUGGAGAGGGAAACGGAAUUCACGGUGUAGCAGUGAAAUGCGUAGAUAUCGUGAGGAACACCAGAGGCGGAGGCGGUUUCCUGGACAGUUACUGACGCUCAGGCACGAAAGCAUGGGGAGCAAAAGGG
rnacentral:rRNA from 1 species